rnacentral:tRNA from 2 species
GGAGUUGUGCCUGAAUUAAAAGGGUCACUUUGAUAGAGUGAACAAUGAAGGUUAAAAUCCUUCCAGCUCCU